GAGAAGGACUCUCCAUUGAACUCCAUAACAUCAUUCCAGUUAUCAAAGGCGUUUUUCACGAUUGUAUCUCUUUGUUCCUGGAAGAAAAACACUCGGUAAAUCACUCGAGCUGGACUAAUUGAAGUAUUUAUCUCCACUAUUGAAGCACAGGGAAAGAAGAAUAAAAGAAACAUUGGAAGAACAUCAAUUCCCUAUUGCUGCCCAUUUCUCCACCACAUAAAGGUCAGGUGCUCGAAAGAUGUAAUGGAGAGUACGAUCAAGGCAAGGAUCCUCAGGGUAAAGAUACAAAGUUGAUCGAGAAAGGACCAGUGAAGAAAUAAAACACGGAUCAACUUGUAUUGCGCAAGUAAUAAAGAUCUUCAUAGCUUUAUACUUGAAAAGUAAUAGUUGCAACAUGAAUGUGUUAAUUACUCAAACGACAAUACGCUGAUGAGUGCCUCACAUUUUCAUGGAUGACAACAAAUCAACUGCUGAAAGUUCUGUCCAA